UGGCUGCCCGCUGCGGCCGAGGUCGCAAUCCGUCGUGCUGUCGCCGCCCUCAACUCCUUUCCCGAGGGCCCCGCAGAGCUGGAACUGGAGCUAGAGGAGGAACUGGAGCUGCUGGCGGCCGGGGAACAGCCUUCCGAACCCGGGGAGCAUCCCCAGGACAAGCCCAGGGAGGGUCGGACUGCCGCCACCGCGCCCGCCCAGAAUUCGGCAGAAGGAUCUGGUGUUAGCGACCCGAGGGGGCAAGACAUUGCUGGAGAGGAACCAAGACAAGAAUCGGCAGGAUAAGCAGAUGCACAAGGAACUGACAGAUAAGCUGGAGCUUCUGAGGACUUCUUCGAUAAACUGACAGUGGAGCAGGAGUUCAUGUCUGGAAUAGACACGGAUAAAGUCAACAGCUACAUUGAGGAUUGUAUUGCCCAAAAACAUCCCCUGAUCAAGGUGUUAAGACUAGUUUGCCUUCAAUCUGUGUGCAAUAGUGGACUCAAACAGAAAGUUCUGGAUUAUUA